UACCUCCUACGGGAGGCAGCAGUGGGGAAUAUUGCACAAUGGGGGAAACCCUGAUGCAGCAACGCCGCGUGAGUGAAGAAGUCAUUCGUGAUGUAAAGCUCUAUCAGCAGGGAAGAAAAUGACGGUACCUGAGUAAGAAGCCCCGGCUAACUACGUGCCAGCAGCCGCGGUAAUACGUAGGGGGCAAGCGUUAUCCGGAUUUACUGGGUGUAAAGGGAGCGCAGGCGGCACGGCAAGCCUGAUGUGAAAGCCCGCGGCCCAACCGCGGGACUGCAUUGGGAACGACCGGGCUGGAGUGCCGGAGG
rnacentral:rRNA from 1 species